rnacentral:rRNA from 1 species
GACGAACGCUGGCGGCGUGCUUAACACAUGCAAGUCGAACGGGAAGUCCCGGCUUUGGGGGAGUGCUCGAGGUGCGAACGGGUGAGUAACACGUGAGUAAGCUGCCCUUGACUUUGGGAUAACUUCAUGAAACUUAGGCUAAUACCGGGUAGGAGCUCCUGCUGCAUGGUGGGGGUUGGAAAGUUUCGGCGGUUGGGGAGGGACUCGCGGCUUAUCAGCUUGUUGGGUUGGUAGUGUCUUACCAAGGCUUUGCACCGUGGACGGGCUGCGCGGGUGAGCUGCCACAUUGGGCCUGAGCUAAGACCCAGCCUCCUACGGGACGGAGCGGUGGAGAAUAUUGCACAAUGGGCGGAAGCCUAACGUAGCCCAGCCGCGUGCGGGAUGACGGCAUUCGGGUUGUAAACCACUUUCGCCUGUGACGAAGCGUGAGUGACGGUAAUGGGUAAAGAAGCCCCGGCUAACUACGUG